UACGGAGGAUCCGAGCGUUAUCCGGAAUUAUUGGGUUUAAAGGGUGCGUAGGCGGCCAUUUAAGUCAGCGGUGAAAUUUUGCAGCUUAACUGUAACAGUGCCGUUGAUACUGUUUGGCUAGGAUUUGGUUGUAGUGUGCGGAAUGUGUGGUGUAGCGGUGAAAUGCUUAGAGAUCACACAGAAUAUCGAUUGCGAAGGCAGCUCACAAAGCCAAGAUUGACGCUGAGGCACGAAAGUGUGGGGAUCAAACAGGAUUA
rnacentral:rRNA from 1 species